rnacentral:rRNA from 1 species
UACGUAGGUGGCAAGCGUUGUCCGGAUUUACUGGGCGUAAAGGGCGUGCAGGCGGUCUGUUAAGUUCAGGGUGAAAGCUCCCGGCUCAACUGGGAGAGGUCCUUGGAUACUGGCAGACUUGAGGGAGGUAGAGGAGAGUGGAAUUCCCGGUGUAGUGGUGAUAUGCGUAGAUAUCUGGAGGAAUACCGGUGGCGAAGGCGGCAUCCUGGACCGACAUUGACGCUGAACGGCGAAAGCUAGGGGAGCAAACGGG